CAUGCACGUCUAAGUACUCGCCUUGGUCUAUUUAAAGUGAAACCGCGAAUGGCUCAUUAAAUCAGUUAUGGUUCACUGGACCGUACCACAUCCUACUCGGAUAACUGUGGUAAUUCUAGAGCUAAUACAUGCAACUAGGCCCUGCCCGGCCGCUCCGUCCGUCAAAACGACGGUCGGUCGGAAAGGGCGCCAUUAUCAGCUCAAAACCGACCGGGUCGCCCGCCGUCCUCUGGACGGGCAGGGCUCCCGUUCUCGUUGACCCUUUGACGACUCUGGAUAACCUCCUAGCGGAUCGCCGGUCAAACUUAGGUCGGCCGGGUGUUUCGGCAUCCGCGCCCGACCUAACGGCGACUGGUCUUUCGAAUGUCUGCCUUAUCAACUGUCGACGGUAGGUUAGACGCCUACCGUGGUCGUAACGGGUGACGGGGAAUCAGGGUUCGAUUCCGGAGAGGGAGCCUGAGAAACGGCUACCACAUCCAAGGAAGGCAGCAGGCACGCAAAUUACCCAAUCCCCGAACGGGGAGGUAGUGACGAAAAAUAACGAUACGGGACUCUUAACGAGGCCUCGUAAUCGGAAUGAGUCCGCUCUAAAUCCUUUUAACGAGGAUCUAUCGGAGGGCAAGUCUGGUGCCAGCAGCCGCGGUAAUUCCAGCUCCGAUAGCGUAUAUUAAAGUUGCUGCGGUUAAAAAGCUUGUAGUUGGAUUUGGGUUUUCGGGCCGGCGGGCCGCCGCCUUCGAGNGGCGCGUCUCCCGCCGCGCCCCCGGAACCGCACGGUYGCAGAGGCCCCCGCGGUGCUCUUGAGUGAGUGUCCGCCGGUUCGGGUCGCCGAACGUUUACUUUGAAAAAAUUAGAGUGCUCCAGGCAGGCCGGUAAAGCGUUGUUUAAAAAAGACCCGCGCCUGAAUAGUCACGCAUGGAAUAAUGAAAGAGGACCGGUGGUCCUAUUUUGUUGGUUUUCGGGAUUUUCCGCCGUCAUGAUUAAGAGGGACGGCCGGGGGCAUUCGUACCGCGGCGCGAGAGGUGAAAUUCUAGGACCGCCGCGAGACGAACCGUUGCGAAAGC
rnacentral:rRNA from 1 species